UACGUAGGGGGCAAGCGUUGUCCGGAAUCAUUGGGCGUAAAGAGCGUGUAGGCGGUCCGGUAAGUCGGCUGUGAAAGUCCAAGGCUCAACCUUGGGAUGCCGGUCGAUACUGCCGGACUAGAGUUCGGAAGAGGCGAGUGGAAUUCCUGGUGUAGCGGUGAAAUGCGCAGAUAUCAGGAGGAACACCAAUUGCGAAGGCAGCUCGCUGGGACGUUACUGACGCUGAGACGCGAAAGCGUGGGGAGCAAACAGG
rnacentral:rRNA from 1 species